GGUUAAGCGACUAAGCGUACACGGUGGAUGCCCUGGCAGUCAGAGGCGAUGAAGGACGUGCUAAUCUGCGAAAAGCGUCGGUAAGGUGAUAUGAACCGUUAUAACCGGCGAUGUCCGAAUGGGGAAACCCAGUGUGAUUCGUCACACUAUCGUUAACUGAAUACAUAGGUUAACGAGGCGAACCGGGGGAACUGAAACAUCUAAGUACCCCGAGGAAAAGAAAUCAACCGAGAUUCCCCCAGUAGCGGCGAGCGAACGGGGAGCAGCCCAGAGUCUGAAUCAGCUUGUGUGUUAGUGGAACGGUCUGGAAAGUCCGACGGUACAGGGUGAUAGUCCCGUACACCAAAAUGCACAGGCUGUGAACUCGAAGAGUAGGGCGGGACACGUGGUAUCCUGUCUGAAUAUGGGGGGACCAUCCUCCAAGGCUAAAUACUCCUGACUGACCGAUAGUGAACCAGUACCGUGAGGGAAAGGCGAAAAGAACCCCGGCGAGGGGAGUGAAAAAGAACCUGAAACCGUGUACGUACAAGCAGUGGGAGCACCUUCGGGUGUGACUGCGUACCUUUUGUAUAAUGGGUCAGCGACUUAUAUUCUGUAGCAAGGUUAACCGUAUAGGGGAGCCGCAGGGAAACCGAGUCUUAACUGGGCGUUAAGUUGCAGGGUAUAGACCCGAAACCCGGUGAUCUAGCCAUGGGCAGGUUGAAGGUUGGGUAACACUAACUGGAGGACCGAACCGACUAAUGUUGAAAAAUUAGCGGAUGACUUGUGGCUGGGGGUGAAAGGCCAAUCAAACCGGGAGAUAGCUGGUUCUCCCCGAAAGCUAUUUAGGUAGCGCCUCGUGAAUUCAUCUUCGGGGGUAGAGCACUGUUUCGGCUAGGGGGUCAUCCCGACUUACCAACCCGAUGCAAACUACGAAUACCGAAGAAUGUUAUCACGGGAGACACACGGCGGGUGCUAACGUCCGUCGUGAAGAGGGAAACAACCCAGACCGCCAGCUAAGGUCCCAAAGUCAUGGUUAAGUGGGAAACGAUGUGGGAAGGCACAGACAGCCAGGAUGUUGGCUUAGAAGCAGCCAUCAUUUAAAGAAAGCGUAAUAGCUCACUGGUCGAGUCGGCCUGCGCGGAAGAUGUAACGGGGCUAAACCAUGCACCGAAGCUGCGGCAGCGACACUAUGUGUUGUUGGGUAGGGGAGCGUUCUGUAAGCCUGCGAAGGUGUGCUGUGAGGCAUGCUGGAGGUAUCAGAAGUGCGAAUGCUGACAUAAGUAACGAUAAAGCGGGUGAAAAGCCCGCUCGCCGGAAGACCAAGGGUUCCUGUCCAACGUUAAUCGGGGCAGGGUGAGUCGACCCCUAAGGCGAGGCCGAAAGGCGUAGUCGAUGGGAAACAGGUUAAUAUUCCUGUACUUGGUGUUACUGCGAAGGGGGGACGGAGAAGGCUAUGUUAGCCGGGCGACGGUUGUCCCGGUUUAAGCAUGUAGGCUGGUUAUCCAGGCAAAUCCGGAUAAUCAAGGCUGAGGUGUGAUGACGAGGCACUACGGUGCUGAAGUAACAAAUGCCCUGCUUCCAGGAAAAGCCUCUAAGCAUCAGGUAACAUCAAAUCGUACCCCAAACCGACACAGGUGGUCAGGUAGAGAAUACCAAGGCGCUUGAGAGAACUCGGGUGAAGGAACUAGGCAAAAUGGUGCCGUAACUUCGGGAGAAGGCACGCUGGUGUGUAGGUGAAGUCCCUGCGGAUGGAGCUGAGACCAGUCGAAGAUACCAGCUGGCUGCAACUGUUUAUUAAAAACACAGCACUGUGCAAACACGAAAGUGGACGUAUACGGUGUGACGCCUGCCCGGUGCCGGAAGGUUAAUUGAUGGGGUUAUCCGUAAGGAGAAGCUCUUGAUCGAAGCCCCGGUAAACGGCGGCCGUAACUAUAACGGUCCUAAGGUAGCGAAAUUCCUUGUCGGGUAAGUUCCGACCUGCACGAAUGGCGUAAUGAUGGCCAGGCUGUCUCCACCCGAGACUCAGUGAAAUUGAACUCGCUGUGAAGAUGCAGUGUACCCGCGGCAAGACGGAAAGACCCCGUGAACCUUUACUAUAGCUUGACACUGAACAUUGAGCCUUGAUGUGUAGGAUAGGUGGGAGGCUUUGAAGCGUGGACGCCAGUCUGCGUGGAGCCAACCUUGAAAUACCACCCUUUAAUGUUUGAUGUUCUAACGUUGGCCCCUUACCGGGGUUGCGGACAGUGUCUGGUGGGUAGUUUGACUGGGGCGGUCUCCUCCCAAAGCGUAACGGAGGAGCACGAAGGUUAGCUAAUCCUGGUCGGACAUCAGGAGGUUAGUGCAAUGGCAUAAGCUAGCUUGACUGCGAGCGUGACGGCGCGAGCAGGUGCGAAAGCAGGUCAUAGUGAUCCGGUGGUUCUGAAUGGAAGGGCCAUCGCUCAACGGAUAAAAGGUACUCCGGGGAUAACAGGCUGAUACCGCCCAAGAGUUCAUAUCGACGGCGGUGUUUGGCACCUCGAUGUCGGCUCAUCACAUCCUGGGGCUGAAGUAGGUCCCAAGGGUAUGGCUGUUCGCCAUUUAAAGUGGUACGCGAGCUGGGUUUAGAACGUCGUGAGACAGUUCGGUCCCUAUCUGCCGUGGGCGCUGGAGAAUUGAGGGGGGCUGCUCCUAGUACGAGAGGACCGGAGUGGACGCAUCACUGGUGUUCGGGUUGUCAUGCCAAUGGCACUGCCCGGUAGCUAAAUGCGGAAGAGAUAAGUGCUGAAAGCAUCUAAGCACGAAACUUGCCCCGAGAUGAGUUCUCCCUGAGACUUUAAGUCUCCUGAAGGAACGUUGAAGACGACGACGUUGAUAGGCCGGGUGUGUAAGCGCAGCGAUGCGUUGAGCUAACCGGUACUAAUGAACCGUGAGGCUUAACCUU
rnacentral:rRNA from 1 species